rnacentral:rRNA from 1 species
UACGUAGGUGGCAAGCGUUGUCCGGAUUUCUUGGGUUUAAAGGGUUCGUAGGCGGCUUAUUAAGUCAGUGGUGAAAUACUCUAGCUCAACUAGAGGGGUGCCAUUGAUACUGAUGAGCUUGAGUACAGAUGAGGUAGGCGGAAUUGACGGUGUAGCGGUGAAAUGCUUAGAUAUCGUCAAGAACACCGAUAGCGAAGGCAGCUUACUAGGCUGUAACUGACGCUGAGGCACGAAAGUGUGGGGAGCAAACAGG